rnacentral:rRNA from 1 species
UACGUAGGGUGCGAGCGUUGUCCGGAUUUAUUGGGCGUAAAGAGCUCGUAGGCGGCUUGUCGCGUCGGAUGUGAAAGCCCGGGCUUAACUCCGGGUCUGCAUUCGAUACGGGCAGGCUAGAGUGUGGUAGGGGGAGAUCGGAAUUCCGUGGGUGUAGCGGUGAAAUGCGCAGAUAUCAGGAGGAACACCGGUGGCGAAGGCGGAUCUCUGGGGCCAUUACUGACGCUGAGGAGCGAAAGCGUGGGGAGCGAACAGG